GCUCUCAUAGCUCAGUUGGUUAGAGCACCUGUUUAGUAAGCAGGAGGUCUUGAGUUCAACUCUCAACGAGCA
rfam:Ipomoea nil DNA, scaffold: scaffold0805, cultivar: Tokyo-kokei standard.